rnacentral:rRNA from 1 species
AUUGAACGCUGGCGGCAUGCCUUACACAUGCAAGUCGAACGGCAGCGGACCUUCGGGUGCCGGCGAGUGGCGAACGGGUGAGUAAUAUAUCGGAACGUACCUUUCAGUGGGGGAUAACGUAGCGAAAGUUACGCUAAUACCGCAUAUUCUGUGAGCAGGAAAGCAGGGGAUCGCAAGACCUUGCGCUGAUUGAGCGGCCGAUAUCAGAUUAGCUAGUUGGUGAGGUAAAGGCUCACCAAGGCGACGAUCUGUAGCGGGUCUGAGAGGAUGAUCCGCCACACUGGAACUGAGACACGGUCCAGACUCCUACGGGAGGCAGCAGGUGGGUAAUUUUGGACAAGUGGGCGAC